rnacentral:rRNA from 1 species
GAUGAACGCUGGCGGCGUGCCUAAUACAUGCAAGUCGAGCGAACAGAUGAGGAGCUUGCUCCUCUGACGUUAGCGGCGGACGGGUGAGUAACACGUGGAUAACCUACCUAUAAGACGGGGAUAACUUCGGGAAACCGGAGCUAAUACCGGAAAAUUUAUUGAACCGCAUGGUUCAAUAGUGAAAGACGGUUUUGCUGUCACUUAUAGUUGGAUCCGCGCCGCAUUAGCUAGUUGGUAAGGUAACGGCUUACCAAGGCAACGAUGCGUAGCCGACCUGAGAGGGUGAUCGGCCACACUGGAACUGAGACACGGUCCAGACUCCUACGGGAGGCAGCAGUAGGGAAUCUUCCGCAAAGGGCGAAAGCUUGACGGAGCAACGCCGCGUGAGUGAUGAAGGUCUUCGGAUCGUAAAACUCUGUUAUUAGGGAAGAACAAAUGUGUAAGUAACUAUGCACGUCUUGACGGUACCUAAUCAGAAAGCCACGGCUAACUACGUG